rnacentral:rRNA from 1 species
AAAUUGAAGAGUUUGAUCAUGGCUCAGAUUGAACGCUGGCGGCAGGCCUAACACAUGCAAGUCGAACGGUAACAGGAAACAGCUUGCUGUUUCGCUGACGAGUGGCGGACGGGUGAGUAAUGUCUGGGAAACUGCCUGAUGGAGGGGGAUAACUACUGGAAACGGUAGCUAAUACCGCAUAAUGUCGCAAGACCAAAGAGGGGGACCUUCGGGCCUCUUGCCAUCGGAUGUGCCCAGAUGGGAUUAGCUAGUAGGUGGGGUAACGGCUCACCUAGGCGACGAUCCCUAGCUGGUCUGAGAGGAUGACCAGCCACACUGGAACUGAGACACGGUCCAGACUCCUACGGGAGGCAGCAGUGGGGAAUAUUGCACAAUGGGCGCAAGCCUGAUGCAGCCAUGCCGCGUGUAUGAAGAAGGCCUUCGGGUUGUAAAGUACUUUCAGCGGGGAGGAAGGGAGUAAAGUUAAUACCUUU